rnacentral:rRNA from 1 species
AUACGGGGGGGGCGAGCGUUGUCCGGAAUUAUUGGGCGUAAAGGGCGCGUAGGCGGAAUGAUAAGUCAGAGGUGAAAACUCAGGGCUCAACCCUGAGCCUGCCUUUGAUACUGUCAUUCUUGAGUGCGAGAGAGGAAAGCGGAAUUCCCGGUGUAGCGGUGAAAUGCGUAGAUAUCGGGAAGAACACCGGUAGCGAAGGCGGCUUUCUGGCUCGCAACUGACGCUGAGGCGCGAAAGCGUGGGGAGCAAACAGGAUUAGAUACCCGAGUAGUCC